GCCAAUUAGCAGCAGACCCUCCCUCCCAAACCCUCCCACCUCCUGGACAGCUCACUAAGAAUGCAGCUUCACAAUGAAUGUAAAAUGGAUGCUGUCCAGGAGGUGGGAGGGUCUGGGAGGGAGGGUCUGCUGCUGAUUGG